GAACCGUGCGAACGUUGUUCGGAAUCACUGGGCUUAAAGGGCGCGUAGGCGGCUUACCAAGUCCGGGGUGAAAUUUUGCGGCUUAACCGUAACAGUGCCUUGGAUACUGGUAGGCUCGAGGGAGAUAGGGGUCUGCGGAACUUCUGGUGGAGCGGUGAAAUGCGUUGAUAUCAGAAGGAACGCCGGUGGCGAAAGCGGCAGACUGGAUCUCUUCUGACGCUGAGGCGCGAAAGCUAGGGGAGCAAACGGGAUUAGAUACCCCGGUAGUCCUAGCCCUAAACGUUGGGUACUAGAUUGUAAGCGUGACAUGCGCCUACAGUCGAAGCAAAAGUGUUAAGUACCCCGCCUGGGGAGUAUGGUCGCAAGGCUGAA
rnacentral:rRNA from 1 species